rnacentral:lncRNA from 1 species
GAAAAGAAAAAGGAAGAAGGAUAAAUAAGAAAAAAGAAAAAAAGGAAAAGUAAAGAUUAGAUUUGCAAUGAAUGAGGGAGAUUUGUGGGUUUCAAUGGUGACUGAUAAUGGAGAAAGGGUUAAGAUUUGGGAGGGAUUGUGGGUUUGUUUGAGAGAGUUUGGGAGUGAUAGAUUGAUAGUUGCUUGUAAUGUUUAGAAAAUUG